rnacentral:rRNA from 1 species
CCUACGGGUGGCAGCAGUGAGGAAUAUUGGUCAAUGGGCGCUAGCCUGAACCAGCCAAGCCGCGUGAAGGAUGACUGCCCUAUGGGUUGUAAACUUCUUUUAUAUGGGAAUAAAGUGCAGUAUGUAUACCGCUUUGCAUGUACCUUAUGAAUAAGGAUCGGCUAACUCCGUGCCAGCAGCCGCGGUAAUACGGAGGAUCCAAGCGUUAUCCGGAUUUAUUGGGUUUAAAGGGAGCGUAGGCGGGUUGGUAAGUCAGUUGUGAAAGUUUGCGGCUCAACCGUGAAAUUGCAGUUGAUACUGGCAGGCUUGAGUGCAGUAGAGGUAGGCGGAAUGCGUGGUGUAGCGGUGAAAUGCUUAGAGAUCACGAAGAACACCGAUUGCGAAGGCAGCCUACUGGACUGUAACUGACGCUGAGGCACGAAAGUGUGGGGAGCAAACAGGAUUAGAUACCCCGGUAGUC